UAGCCGUAAACGAUACUCGCUAGGUGUCGGCCACGGUGCGACCGUUGUCGGUGCCGUAGGGAAGCCGUGAAGCGAGCCACCUGGGAAGUACGGCCGCAAGGCUGAAACUUAAAGGAAUUGGCGGGGGAGCACAACAGCGGGUGGAGCUUGCGGUUUAAUUGGAUUCAACGCCGGAAAUCUUACCGGGACCGACAGCAACAUGAAGGCCAAGCUGAAGACUUUGCCGGAUUAGCUGAGAGGAGGUGCAUGGCGUAGUCGUGU
rnacentral:rRNA from 1 species